GGGACUUAGGUUAAACAUAAACCAAGGGCCUUCAAAGCCCUAAACAAGAGUGAAAGUCUCUUCGUCCCUG
rnacentral:tRNA from 1 species